UGCGGGGUAGAGCAGUUGGUUAGCUCGACGGCCUCAUGAGCCGUAGGUCGGAAGUUCAAGUCUUCCCUCCGCAACCA
rnacentral:tRNA from 1 species